UGACGUUGUUAGCAAAGACAUGAGGGAGAGAGCAGAGGAGUAAACGAGCUGUGUUUAUAAUAAGCAGAGAAAAGAGUGAAAAGUUGAUUUUGCAGUUGAAAGAAAACAUAAUUUGCCUGGUCGGGAACUGACGGGGAUUUUAUGAGAACGAAGUCACACCGGUUUUGGUCAGGUUUUUUUGCUUGGUUUGAAGCUUGGUCGGAGCGAAGAUUGGUCUGCAGUGUGCAGGCCCGCACGUGCACAGACGAGAUUCAAGAUGGCGAGCCAGACCCAGAUUUUCAACUCAUCCUUUACAUCGCGUCAGUGAGGAAAUCUCCUGCGUAUGGUGACUUGCUGCCAGAGUGGUAGGAGUAUCAGGAAUUGGUUUUGAACUGAACUGGAAAUCCAUUGAACUAUUAUUUUGGACUGAAUUGAAUCUUUCCAUUGAACUGAAUCUCUUCAUUGAACUGAGCAAUUUAACUCACAUUUGGCCUUGAAUUUGAGGUGUUAUAUUUUUAUUUUCAUAUUGAGUUCAUAUGUUUGAAUGUGAUUUGAAAUGUUGUGGUCCACUUUGAUUUGGUUGUGUAAGUUGAUGGUAUUUUCUUACCUGUAAAAGAAAGGAAAAGAUUUAACUCAGGGAGAUAAAUAGGAAUCCUAAAAUAGGUGCAACCUAGGAAAAGACUGGUCUAACUUAGAUUAGUUGACUAAAAUAAUUUAGGUGAACUAAAGAACAAAAAGUGAGAGAAAUAUCUUUUCAUUUAUUAUACUUACCUCAAUAUUAAGAACCUGCAGGUAAUAUUUUUCUUGUUUUUGUUUCUUGAACUGUAUGUUAUACACUCACCUAAAGGAUUAUUAGGAACACCUGUUCAGUUUCUCAUUAAUGCAAUUAUCUAAUCAACCAAUCACUUGGCAGUUGCUUUAAUGCAUUUAGGGGUGUGGUCCUGGUAAAGACAAUAUCCUGAACUCCAAACUGAAUGUCAGAAUGGGAAAGAAAGGUGAUUUAAGCAAUUUUGAGCGUGGCAUGGUUGUUGGUGCCAGACGGAUCGGUCUGAGUAUUUCACAAUCUGCUCAGUUACUGGGAUUUUCACGCACAACCAUUUCUAGGGUUUACAAAGAAUGGUGUGAAAAGGGAAAAACAUCCAGUAUGCGGCAGUCCUGUGGGCGAAAAUACCUUGUUGAUGCUAGAGGUCAGAGGAGAAUGAGCCGACUGAUUCAAGCUGAUAGAAGAGCAACUUUGACUGAAAUAACCACUCGUUACAACCGAGGUAUGCGGCAAAGCAUUUGUGAAGCCACAACACGCGCAACCUUGAGGCGGAUGGGCUACAUCAAAAGAAGACCCCACCGGGUACCCAUCCUCUGAUGGCUACUUCCAGCAGGAUAAUGCACCAUGUCACAAAGCUUGAAUCAUUUCAAAUUGGUUUCUUGAACAUGACAAUGAGUUCACUGUACUAAAAUGCCCCCCACAGUCACCAGAUCUCAACCCAAUAGAGCAUCUUUGGGAUGUGGUGGAACAGGAGCUUCGUGCCCUGGAUGUGCAUCCCACAAAUCUCCAUCAACUGCAAGAUGCUAUCCUAUCAAUAUGGGCCAACAUUUCAUAUGCUUUCAGCACAUUGUUGAAUCAAUUAAGGCAGUUCUGAAGGCGAAAGUGGUUCAAACACAGUAUUAGUAUGGUGUUCCUAAUAAUCCUUUAGGUGAGUGUAUGUGUGUUUUGCAUUCAGUAAAUUCCCGGCCUUUUAUAUACAAAGAAACGGUCUCUGGUGUAAUAAUUGUUUUGGUUUUUUUUGCUCCCCACUCCUUAGAACCUAGAACUGGUCCAGUGGCGCAGUAAGUGGUGUGAUACCGGUGAUACACACAUCCAAGACCAGUCUGAAACAAUGUUUCCUAAUGGCCCUGAACUAGUAAAUAAUUGUAUGCACGUUAUACAUUGUAGAACUGUGUUUGUGUUUCGUCACUUAAACAAACUCCUCAGUCUUUCCAGAGUUUGUCAUAGAGUUCUUCAGUUAGCCAUGGGUUUCCUUAAGAAUUUGAAAAUGUUUUUUAGAAUAAUGAUUUUCAAUUUAUGAGUACAAUUAUGAGUCUUUGUUUAACGUUACUUGAAGAGACUUAAAGCAUAAAUUAAACACAGUCCCACCUAAAGCAUUAAUUUUUUUAACGUGUUACUCCAGUCAGGUCUCCUAAGCAAUCAAACUGUCCUGGCUGAUAGGGAGGGAAGAGUCACAUAGGGUAACCUCCUCGUGGCCGCUAUAAUAUGGUUUGCUCUCGGUGGGACACGUAGUGAGUUGUGCAUGGAUGCAGCGGAGAAUAGCGUGAAGCCUCCACUUGCAACAAGUCUUUGCGGUAAAGCGCUCGACAAGACACGUGACGGUCUCAGAUUCAGAGGCAACUGAGAUUCGUCCUCCGCCACCCAGAUUGAGUUGAGUCACUAUGCCACCACAAGGAUUUAGAGCGCAUUGGGAUUUGGGUAUUCCAAAUUGGGGAGAAAAUAGGACUACAAAUACUACAAGGAUGUGAAUUUGCAUGCUUAACAAAUUGGAACUGUUGUCUCUGGAAGUAACUUGGUAUUCUAUUAUUUCAUUUGAAACAUAUUUACCAUUUAGUUCAUUCAUCCAGACCAUAUUGGAAAGAGUGCCCUUCUGUUGCUGGAGCAGUAUUUUGUUUUAAUGUGUGUCGUUAAUUUUCAUGAUUGUGUCAAUUUUCAUUAAAAUGUUAAAUGAUGUUGAUAAUGAUGAUGUGGACAUUUAUGAAUGUAAAUCAUGUUGAACCUUAUCUAAAGUGAGUGCAAACAACUGAUAUAUAAUAUAUAACUGGAUUGCUCAUGACAUCAAAAAAGUGAUGCCACAGUGCCAUAUUGCUAUACCCAAAUAUUUCAAUGUCCCUAUUGACUUAACAGGAAAUCAUCUAAUUUCAGCAAGUGAACAUUAGUCAUUCAAUCACUUUUUUUAUCUGAAAUCUGCAUGUACAUCCCUGCAAUGCAAACAUCCUACACAUGUAAUUAUUUAUUUAAAGUCUGGAAUUUGUCCUGUU